rnacentral:rRNA from 1 species
UACGUAGGGCGCAAGCGUUGUCCGGAAUUAUUGGGCGUAAAGAGCUCGUAGGCGGUCUGUCGCGUCGGAUGUGAAAGCCCGGGGCUUAACCCCGGGUCUGCAUUCGAUACGGGCAGACUAGAGUGUGGUAGGGGAGGAUCGGAAUUCCUGGUGUAGCGGUGAAAUGCGCAGAUAUCAGGAGGAACACCGGUGGCGAAGGCGGAUCUCUGGGCCAUUACUGACGCUGAGGAGCGAAAGCGUGGGGAGCGAACAGG